AUUGAACGCUGGCGGCAGGCCUAACACAUGCAAGUCGAACGGAAACAUGAAACAGCUUGCUGUUUCGCUGACGCGUGGCAGACGGGUGUGUAAUGUCUGGGAAACUGCUUUAUGACUGGGGAUACUUACUGGAAACGGUGGCUAAUACCGCAUAACUUCUCAAGCCCAAAGAUCGAGACUCUCAGGCCUCUUGCCAUCCGCUGUGACCAGGUGGCAUUAGGUAGUUGGUAGGGUAACGGCUCACCAAGGCGACGAUCCGUAGCUGGUCUGAGAGGGUGACCAGCCACACUGGAACUGAGACACGGUCCAGACUCCUACGGGAGGCAGCAGUGGGGAAUAUUGCACAAUGGGCGAAAGCCUGAUGCAGCAAUGCCGCGUGUAUGAAGAAGGCCUUCGGGUUGUAAAGUACUGUCAGCGGGGAGGAAGGGAGUAAAGAGAAUACCUUCGCUUAUUGACGUUACCCGCAGAAGAAGCCCCGGCUAACUCCGUG
rnacentral:rRNA from 1 species